CAAGGGCAGCCACGUUGCUACGGACCGUCCUGAGACCGGCCAGGACCUGUGGUGAGAGCGGUGCUCAGGAGGAAGCUCGCGCCCUCUGACAAGGCCAUCACUGAGAGCAUCUGCCGGCUUCAGCAGACUCUCCUCAGGACUCCUACCCAGGCCUUCCGGCCUCUCCCACCAAUAACCUACGAUAUCCCUAUUUAAAAUGGGGAAACUGAGUCCUACGGACAGAAAGGGUCUUAGCAGAGUCAGGACAGAAAUAAUUGUUUCUCUUUUCAUCACAGCUACUAGGGAGCUCAAAUAAAACUAUUUGUUCAGUUGCUA